ensembl:lncRNA
GUCGAAAAGUCUUAAUUUACAUUUUAACUUUAAUUAAAUUACUCUAGCACAGUAGAUAUCAGUAAAGCAAUAGCACAAUAAACAAAAUAAAUAAUUCAUAUGUGGAUAAAUCUAAAGGUAAAACUGAUUUUAAAAGUAUUACACGUUCAAACACGGCCAGAAUGUGUGUGCAUUGAGAGGCACGUUUAAAUUCGGCAUCUUAACAUGAUGAAUCUGUCCGUCUAUACACAUAUGAGAAAUGGGGCUAAAACUAACACCUAAACACAGCCAGAAUGUAAUUGUCUACACAUAUAAAAUAAACAUGUUAAAAAUUGCUGCGUUGACAAAUUUCACGUGUCCCAUUUAAAGACUUUUGCCCCCAUCCACCUUCCAUACAUGAGUUCCUCCAGUAGUGGGCACUUGUGAAACGAAAACAAUGAAGUACAUCCGAGUCAAUGACAGGCUAGAAGUCAGCGAGGACAGUGCAUAAAAAGCUAUGUGGAAUUUUAGUGAACGUUUAUGAAAUUAUGAGAAAAGGGGAUUAUUGCUUUUCAGCAGCAACAAAUUAACGUGAUAUUAUUCACUACAGUGAACUCAACUCAAAUACACUGAACUGCAUGCAGUUACUUUAAGCACUAAGUAAUUAAGGACUGUUGGAUUAUAAUGCGUUAUUAUGAUUUACAUUACCAGUUUUGCCAUUCCACACCGUGACCCACAGACAGCAGCCAUGUCUUCUGGAGCAGCCCCUACAGUAGAAUCUGAUGCUGACUUUUACUAUGACUAUGAGAAUCUGCGCAUUGGAGGCCUGAUCUUUGCUGGGGUCAUUGUGGUACUAUCGGUCCUCCUCCUGACAGGUACGUUUUAGCCUCUCUGUGUGUGUGAGUGUGUGUGUGUGUGUGUGUGUGUGUCAUAUGAGUCAUAUCAAAUCCCUGAUGUGUAAUGACUGUCUGGGCCUGUAGGUAACCGCAUCAGACGGUGUGGCAAGCGUAAGGUAAGCACCCUUAACUUACUGAUGUGUUUCUGAUGACAUCUAGUGGUCAGUGUUAUGUACAAACAUUGUCACUUUUUAUAUAUAUUUACUGGAGUAGGUUUACUUUGAAAUUGACCGUAAUGUAAUAUAUACACAUAUGUAAAACACACAUAGAGUAAUAAGAGAAAAUGUUCUUUUCACAGUGAACACAGAGAACACAGUGCAUUGCUUUUAGUGUUUUGUUCAACAUAUUACUGUAACUGUAGUAGUAAAAAUAACAAAUAUCAGAUAUUUGUAUAUUAAGUGCAUGACUUUGAUCUGAGCUGACAGUUUUUAAAUGUUUCUGUUUUUGUGUGUGUGUCAGGCGAAGCAUGUGGAUGAAGAAAUUUAAGAUGGGUCAUUUCUAUACUGGAUGGAUUUAAGAUGUGAACGGCCUGUAAAUUUGGAAAAAGUCAUAUUAUUAUGUUUAACUUAACACUUACAUUUUUGAUUUAAUUGUUAAACACUUCAUUGAAACAUUGAUUUGGAAAAACUGUUUAGGUAUGGUGUUGAAGACUAAAAAAGGAUAUAUGGAGGUUAUUUUUCAUCAGACGUUUUGUUUUAUUUUAUAUAUAUAUAUAUAUAUAUAUACACACACACACACACAUACAUACAUACAUAUACAGACGGAAGAAUAGAAAGAAGAAGAUGUAAGGGAAUAAUUGACGACGGGCCACUUGAUUAUUCAAAAAAUAAUGCACACCUGAGGUGGUGAUGCAGCCAUGACGCGAAGCGGAGAUAUAUGAUAUAUUUCAAGGCAUCCAUCAGGUUUUUGUACUUAAAAUGCUCCUGUGAGUAGAAUAAAUCUCUUAAUCUCCUCA